rnacentral:rRNA from 1 species
AUGCAUUGGAAAAAGUGGCAGGACAUAGCUAUCCCAAAAUGUGAGGGGGGAAUGGGCUUCAGAGAUUUUGGCCUCUUUAAUCAAGCCAUGUUGGCUAAACAAGGGUGGCGACUUCUGACCAACCCUGAAUCACUUUGUGCAAAGGUGCUUAAAGGCCGAUAUUAUCAUGAUUCAGAUUUCUUGGCAGCUAAAAAAAAGAGGAACUCCUCUCAUACUUGGAGGGCAAUACUACAUGGGAGAGAAUGCCUAAAUCUAGGGCUGAUUAAACGUGUUGGGGAUGGUGCGAGUAUUAACAUCUGGGAGGACCCUUGGAUUCCCUCCAAUCAUGGCUAUCGGCCAAUUAUUCGGUUACCAGGGGCUGCAUGCACCAAGGUGGAGGAGCUUAUUGAUCAUGUGAAUAAUAGUUGGGAUCUUGCUGCCUUGGAAGCAAACUUUGUUGCACCUGAUGUGCAUGCCAUUGCUAAAACCCAUAGGGAAUUGGGGUGA